AUUGAACGCUGGCGGCAUGCCUUACACGUGCAAGUCGAACGGCAGCGGGGGUAGCUUGCUACCUGCCGGCGAGUGGCGAACGGGUGAGUAAUACAUCGGAACGUGCCCUGUAGUGGGGGAUAACUAGUCGAAAGACUAGCUAAUACCGCAUACGACCUGAGGGUGAAAGUGGGGGACCGCAAGGCCUCAUGCUAUAGGAGCGGCCGAUGUCUGAUUAGCUAGUUGGUGGGGUAAAGGCCCACCAAGGCGACGAUCAGUAGCUGGUCUGAGAGGACGAUCAGCCACACUGGGACUGAGACACGGCCCAGACUCCUACGGGAGGCAGCAGUGGGGAAUUUUGGACAAUGGGGGCAACCCUGAUCCAGCAAUGCCGCGUGUGUGAAGAAGGCCUUCGGGUUGUAAAGCACUUUUGUCCGGAAAGAAAUCGCACUGGUUAAUACCUGGUGUGGAUGACGGUACCGGAAGAAUAAGGACCGGCUAACUACGUGCCAGCCGCCGCCGUAA
rnacentral:rRNA from 1 species